rnacentral:rRNA from 1 species
UGACUGCGUACCUUUUGUAUAAUGGGUCAGCGACUUAUAUUCUGUAGCAAGGUUAACCGAAUAGGGGAGCCGGAGGGAAACCGAGUCUUAACCGGGCGUUAAGUUGCAGGGUAUAGACCCGAAACCCGGUGAUCUAGCCAUGGGCAGGUUGAAGGUUGGGUAACACUAACUGGAGGACCGAACCGACUAAUGUUGAAAAAUUAGCGGAUGACCUGUGGCUGGGGGUGAAAGGCCAAUCAAACCGGGAGAUAGCUGGUUCUCCCCGAAAGCUAUUUAGGUAGCGCCUCGUGAAUUCAUCUCCGGGGGUAGAGCACUGUUUCGGCUAGGGGGCCAUCCCGGCUUACCAACCCGAUGCAAACUGCGAAUACCGGAGAAUGUUAUCACGGGAGACACACGGCGGGUGCUAACGUCCGUCGUGAAGAGGGAAACAACCCAGACCGCCAGCUAAGGUCCCAAAGUCAUGGUUAAGUGGGAAACGAUGUGGGAAGGCCCAGACAGCCAGGAUGUUGGCUUAGAAGCAGCCAUCAUUUAAAGAAAGCGUAAUAGCUCACUGGUCGAGUCGGCCUGCGCGGAAGAUGUAACGGGGCUAAACCAUGCACCGAAGCUGCGGCAGCGACGCUGAUGCGUUGUUGGGUAGGGGAGCGUUCUGUAAGCCUGCGAAGGUGGCCUGUGAGGGUUGCUGGAGGUAUCAGAAGUGCGAAUGCUGACAUAAGUAACGAUAAAGCGGGUGAAAAGCCCGCUCGCCGGAAGACCAAGGGUUCCUGUCCAACGUUAAUCGGGGCAGGGUGAGUCGACCCCUAAGGCGAGGCCGAAAGGCGUAGUCGAUGGGAAACGGGUUAAUAUUCCCGUACUUGGUGUUACUGCGAAGGGGGGACGGAGAAGGCUAUGUUGGCCGGGCGACGGUUGUCCCGGUUUAAGCGUGUAGGCUGGUUUUCCAGGCAAAUCCGGAAAAUCAAGGCUGAGGCGUGACGACGAGGCACUACGGUGCUGAAGCAACAAAUGCCCUGCUUCCAGGAAAAGCCUCUAAGCAUCAGGUAACAUCAAAUCGUACCCCAAACCGACACAGGUGGUCAGGUAGAGAAUACCAAGGCGCUUGAGAGAACUCGGGUGAAGGAACUAGGCAAAAUGGUGCCGUAACUUCGGGAGAAGGCACGCUGACACGUAGGUGAAGUGAUUUACUCAUGGAGCUGAAGUCAGUCGAAGAUACCAGCUGGCUGCAACUGUUUAUUAAAAACACAGCACUGUGCAAACACGAAAGUGGACGUAUACGGUGUGACGCCUGCCCGGUGCCGGAAGGUUAAUUGAUGGGGUCAGCGCAAGCGAAGCUCCUGAUCGAAGCCCCGGUAAACGGCGGCCGUAACUAUAACGGUCCUAAGGUAGCGAAAUUCCUUGUCGGGUAAGUUCCGACCUGCACGAAUGGCGUAAUGAUGGCCAGGCUGUCUCCACCCGAGACUCAGUGAAAUUGAACUCGCUGUGAAGAUGCAGUGUACCCGCGGCAAGACGGAAAGACCCCGUGAACCUUUACUAUAGCUUGACACUGAACAUUGAGCCUUGAUGUGUAGGAUAGGUGGGAGGCUUUGAAGUGUGGACGCCAGUCUGCAUGGAGCCGACCUUGAAAUACCACCCUUUAAUGUUUGAUGUUCUAACGUGGACCCGUGAUCCGGGUUGCGGACAGUGUCUGGUGGGUAGUUUGACUGGGGCGGUCUCCUCCUAAAGAGUAACGGAGGAGCACGAAGGUUGGCUAAUCCUGGUCGGACAUCAGGAGGUUAGUGCAAUGGCAUAAGCCAGCUUGACUGCGAGCGUGACGGCGCGAGCAGGUGCGAAAGCAGGUCAUAGUGAUCCGGUGGUUCUGAAUGGAAGGGCCAUCGCUCAACGGAUAAAAGGUACUCCGGGGAUAACAGGCUGAUACCGCCCAAGAGUUCAUAUCGACGGCGGUGUUUGGCACCUCGAUGUCGGCUCAUCACAUCCUGGGGCUGAAGUAGGUCCCAAGGGUAUGGCUGUUCGCCAUUUAAAGUGGUACGCGAGCUGGGUUUAGAACGUCGUGAGACAGUUCGGUCCCUAUCUGCCGUGGGCGCUGGAGAACUGAGGGGGGCUGCUCCUAGUACGAGAGGACCGGAGUGGACGCAUCACUGGUGUUCGGGUUGUCAUGCCAAUGGCACUGCCCGGUAGCUAAAUGCGGAAGAGAUAAGUGCUGAAAGCAUCUAAGCACGAAACUUGCCCCGAGAUGAGUUCU